UUUUUCAUUCAAGGCAGCAUUUUGAAUAAGGAAGAUGGCGGCUGCAGCAGUGGUUGAGUUUCAGAGAGCCCAGUCUCUCAUUAGCACGGACCGCAACGCCUCUAUCGAUAUCCUCCAUUCAAUAGUGCGGAGAGAUGUCCAAGAGAACGAUGAGGAGGCUGUCAGGGUUAA